GUUUGAUAAAGCCUUUGCAAUAGUGACUGCAAUCGAUGACGUGAUGUCAUACAGAUUAAAGGUGUGAUAAAGCCUUUGCAAUCGUGCUGAUAUCGAUAUCAUCAUGGGUGGCUGAUACAUCACGCUUGCCAAUGAUUGUAUUACACAUACAAUUUAUCUGUAUUUUCUACUAAGUAUAUAAUAAAUAUAUAGAAAGGCUCUUUAUUUCUUUGAAAUUUGGGUGAAAGAUACUAAAGUGACUUUCAAACACAACAAUCGAAAAAUAAACUGACAACGCCAUGGCUAAAAAAGAAAAUGACAAGCAGACAAAUAAUGGAACACAAGCUUAAGA
rnacentral:lncRNA from 1 species